GAUGAAGAACGUAGCGAAAUGCGAUAAGUAAUGUGAAUUGCAGAAUUCCGUGAAUCAUCGAAUCUUUGAACGCACAUUGUGCCCCCUGGUAUUCCGGGGGGCAUGCCUGUCCGAGCGUCAUUGCAACCUUCAAGCGCGGCUUGUGUGUUGGGUCUCGUCCCCCGUGGACGGGCCCGAAAGGCAGUGGCGGCGUCCCGACAUGGUGCCCGAGCGUAUGGGAAUCCUCUUCCGCUCGAAUCGGCCCAUGCGGCGCUGGUCGUAACCAAAUUUUUUACCGGUUGACCUCGGAUCAGGUAGGGAUACCCGCUGAACUUAAGCAUAUCAAUAAGCGGAGGA
rnacentral:misc_RNA from 1 species